GACGAACGCUGGCGGCGUGCUUAACACAUGCAAGUCGAACGGAAAGGCCCCAGCUUGCUGGGGUACUCGAGUGGCGAACGGGUGAGUAACACGUGGGUGAUCUGCCCUGCACUCUGGGAUAAGCCUGGGAAACUGGGUCUAAUACCGGAUAGGACCGUGCUUUAGUGUGUGCGGUGGAAAGUUUUUCGGUGCAGGAUGAGCCCGCGGCCUAUCAGCUUGUUGGUGGGGUAAUGGCCUACCAAGGCGGCGACGGGUAGCCGGCCUGAGAGGGUGUACGGCCACAUUGGGACUGAGACACGGCCCAGACUCCUACGGGAGGCAGCAGUGGGGAAUAUUGCACAAUGGGCGCAAGCCUGAUGCAGCGACGCCGCGUGGGGGAUGACGGCCUUCGGGUUGUAAACCCCUUUCGGCAGGGACGAAGCUUUUGUGACGGUACCUGCAUAAGAAGCGCCGGCUAACUACGCG
rnacentral:rRNA from 1 species